rnacentral:rRNA from 1 species
UACGAAGGGGGCUAGCGUUGUUCGGAUUUACUGGGCGUAAAGCGCACGUAGGCGGAUUCUUAAGUCAGGGGUGAAAUCCCGAGGCUCAACCUCGGAACCGCCUUUGAUACUGGGGAUCUUGAGUUCGGGAGAGGUGAGUGGAAUUGCGAGUGUAGAGGUGAAAUUCGUAGAUAUUCGCAAGAACACCAGUGGCGAAGGCGGCUCACUGGCCCGAUACUGACGCUGAGGUGCGAAAGCGUGGGGAGCAAACAGG